rnacentral:lncRNA from 1 species
ACGAUUCCUUAGGAGCAUUUCGUGUUACACCCUCCUGUCUUGGUGUGCCUCUGCAACUCCAACUUGUCUGGGUUCUUUUUUCCGCAUCCCUUUUGUGUAGGAGAAAAAGUCGAUCCCUUGUUGGUUUUGGUCGACUUUUGCUAAAUGUCGAUCUCAUGUUGAAUUUCCUCGAUUUUCGCUAAAUGUCGAUCUCUUGUUGAAGUUGGUCGACUUUUGUCAAAAAGUCGAUUCCUGGUGCUUUAGGUCAAAAGUCGAUCCCUUGCGUAAAAAGUCGACUUUGCCAAUUUUUGUCCUUUUGUGCUGUCCUAGGGUCUAUAAAUAGGACCCCUAGGUUCUCCUUUUCCUUCAUCCAUCCAUGGCUCUUCUUGUGAGUCUCUUUGCUGAUUUUAUUCAGGGAGAGAUUGAGGAGCUGGAUCGAAUUCUGAAUAUUUUAGAUCCUCGGUCUUCAACCUUGGAUCUUCCUUCUCUGCGCCAGCUUAUUGUUGAGCGGCAGAGUGUUGCUGUUGCUGCUCGGGAGUCCAUUUUCGAAGAAUGGUCUGGUGGCGAUCUUCCGCCUGCCUCUUCUUCUGCUAUUCCUCCCCGUGGCCGACGUCGGAGGCGUCCCCGCCGCGGUGCUUCUCCGCUGGAUCAGGUCCCUCGUCGCUUGCGUCGCCGUAUUAAUUUUAAUUAGGAACCUGUAAAAAAUUUUUCAUUCAUCAUUUUGAAUAAAUAUCUUUUUACCUUUUCCUUUCUUUGCCUUACACCUUUACUUUGAAGUAAGUUAGUGUAACCGAAAUUUUCUUGGUGUCGGAUUUUUGGCAAGUCGAUCUCGUUUCUCCCUGGAAAUGUCGAGGUUGCCUAAAAAUGUCGAUCCCACAUUUUUCUGAGGAUGUCGAAGACUGCUGACCCUUUUCUAAAGGUGUCGAAUUUUUGACAAGUCGAUCUCAUUUCUCCCUGGAAAUGUCGAAGUUGUCUAAAAAAGUCGAUCCCACCUUUUCCUGAGGAUGUCGAUGACUGCCGAUCCUUUUCUAAAGGUGUCGAAUUUUUGACAAGUCGACCUCAUUUCUCCCUGGAAAUGUCGAUGUUGUCUAAAAAUGUCGAUCUCACCUUUUUCUGAGGAUGUCGAUGAGAGUGGUGUGGAAUGUCGAUCCUGACCUUCUCUUUUGAAGGUUUCGAGUUCCUUGCCAAAUGUCGACGCCUAUCCCCUUUUCCUGGGAAUGUCGAACAUGCUUACCUGCGGAAUGUCGAUCCUGACCUUCUCUUUGGAAGGUUUCGACUUCCUUGUUAAAUGUCGACGCCUAUCCCCUUUUCCUGGGAAUGUCGAACAUGCUUACCUGCGGAAUGUCGAACCUGACCUUCUCUUUUGAAGGUAUCGACUUCCUUGUUAAAUGUCGACGCCUAUCCCCUUUUCUUGGGAAUGUCGAACAUGCUUACCUGCGGAAUGUCGAUCCUGACAUUCUCUUUUGAAGGUAUCGACUUCCUUGUUAAAUGUCGACGCCUAUCCCCUUUUCUUGGGAAUGUCGAACAUGCUUUUCUGCAAAAUGUCAAAGGUUUUUCUGAAAUGUCGAAGGAUCUUCUUGAAAUGUCGAUGGCCUCUAGUUGGGUUUUGGGGUUUUUCACGGACUGGGCCGUCGUGGGCCUGCCGGGCCC